CGAAGGUGUGAGGGUAAAUAAUCCUUACGCUUGACGGUACCGUCAGAGGAAGCACCGGCUAACUCCGUGCCAGCAGCCGCGGUAAUACGGAGGGUGCGAGCGUUAAUCGGAAUUACUGGGCGUAAAGGGCGCGUAGGCGGUUCAGUGCGUUGGAUGUGAAAGCCCUGGGCUUAACCUGGGAAUGGCAUUCGAUACGGCUGGGCUAGAGUAUGGUAGAGGGAAGUGGAAUUUCCGGUGUAACGGUGAAAUGUGUAGAGAUCGGAAGGAACACCAGUGGCGAAGGCGACUUCCUGGACCAAUACUGACGCUCAAGCGCGAAAGCGUGGGGAUCAAACAGGAUUAGAUACCCUGGUAGUCCACGCCCUAAACGAUGAGAACUAGCCGUUGGGGGAGUUGAAUCCUUCAGUGGCGCAGCUAACGCGCUAAGUUCUCCGCCUGGGGAGUACGGCCGCAAGGUUAAAACUCAAAGGAAUUGACGGGGGCCCGCACAAGCGGUGGAGCAUGUGGUUUAAUUCGAUGCAACGCGAAGAACCUUACCUGCCCUUGACAUCCUGGGGACCCGGGAGAGAUCCCGGGGUGCCUUCGGGAACCCAGAGACAGGUGCUGCAUGGCUGUCGUCA
rnacentral:rRNA from 1 species